UAGCGGUAAACGCAGACUGCUGGUGAUCUAGUAACUUAGAAAAACUGAACAAAGACAUGGAAAACUGAUCUCCAUUUUCUUGGAGUUGUACUCUGUACCACGUGGUUGAAAAAUUUAGUAUUCUUAAACGCAGAGGAUUCAUGGCACGUUUCGCCAAAUUGUGGUAUAACUUGGCAAAUUCAAUAAUUUAAGAUUUUAAAUAUUCAUAAUUUGAGAAAAAUAACGGUGUAUUUUGAAUUUAACAUCGGAUGAGAUCGUACUUGUACGAUUGACCUAUAUAAGCCGCUUAAACAUGGGAAGAACUAGAAGCACGUGGUCGAUAUUUUGUUGCGAAAUAACUUGGCAAUCUUAGCACUACAAGCCAUUUAAAGUGAAGCAUGUUGGUUGAUAACCUUCAUUUUGUAAUUUUCGUAAAAUUUAUUGGGUUCUAAACCCAACACAAAAUUACAAUAUCUAAUAUGGACAUUUUGUUUGGCUCAUUGGUUAUAUAAAUACAAUUUGGCUCAAACCGGUUGGUACCAGUAACCUAGUAAACAUGAUUUUUGAUACGAAAAUUUAUAAUGUAAUUUAAGAUGUAUCCGUAAGAAAUAUUUGCUAGGAUUUCCCAAUGGACGAACUGACGAAUGGUUGAAAAUGGCUGGUGAAGAUGUCCUGUCCUAGGAUUGAGCAGUCUCCCUAGACUGUAUAUUUGCCUUUGGUCGUUGAUAACAAUUCUUCUGGUUGCUCCUCUGGUCGUUCUGGUAAAUCUCAUGCAUGGGAUCCCAAGCUGGUCGUUGAUCCCCCACCGGGGAUAGGCAUUUUGAGUUCCUUUUUCUUGGGUCGUGUGUUAUCCCUAAUCCUAAAGGGAUGGUUGGACGAAGAUCAAAGUCCAUGCAUGGGAUUUGAAUAUGGUUGUACAUCUCUUUAAAGAGCGUCUUCAAUUACCUGGGUCGUUGCUACUGGAUCCCUUUACCUUGAAGGGACGGUUGGUCGUUAUUGCCAUGUACCCCCCUGGCCCCAGGGGGAAUGUUUGUAUGUGAUGGCACCAGUCUAUGGCUGGCAGUUACCCCUAGAACCCUGUAUCUAUGGAAACUGGAGUUGAUCUGCUUGAUGCAAACUGCCCUGGAGACCAAGUAACAAAAAGGAUGUUGGAAAAUCCAAAAAAGCAAAACAGGUUGUCGAGGCUGAAAGUUCUGAAGAAGAGUCAGAAGAAGAAGAUGAGGAGGAAAUCCCAGAGCCAGUAAAAACCAAGAAAUCUAAGAAACAAAAGAAUGGUAAAGCUAAAGCCCCAGCGGCCGAUAGUGACGAGGAAGAAAGUGAAGACGAAGAGGAAGAAAAACCCGUAAAGAAAAAUAAAAAGGGCAAGAAAGAGGCUGAGCCAGAGGAUGAUGGUGACGAUGACAGUGAAGAGGAAGCACCUGCUAAGGAAGAAGAAAAUGAUUCAGAUGAGGACUCUGAAGAGGAGGAAGAGGAAGAACAAAAACCAAAGAAACGAAAACAAGAAGCCGCAGACGAAACCCCAGCAAAAAAAACAAAAAGUGAUGAAACCGUAUCCCUGUUUGUCGGUGGACUUGAUUUUGAAACUACACCGGAUACUAUUAAAGAUUUCUUCUCAGAAAAUGGAAUUGAAUUAAGUGACGUUAGAAAGCGUGAAGGAAAGAGAUUUGGACAUGUUGAUUUAGAAGAUGCUGAUGAUGUGGACAAAGCAAUGAAACUCCAUGGAUCCGAGAUCGAUGGCUGCGAAAUUAGAAUUGAUAAAGCUGACAAGAAUACCUCAGGUGGAGAUCGUAGAAGCCAGGGAGGUGGACCUAAAGGUAAAACCCUAACAGCCAGAAACUUGUCGUACGAUACCACAGAAGAAAGUUUAAAGGAUUGCUUCGAGGGAGCUGUCAGUUGUCGAAUCCCAACUUUCCCCGAUACAGGAAAAUCACGAGGACGUGGAUUUAUUGAUUUUGAGUCUGAAGAAGCCGCCGAGUCUGCGAUGAAAGUCAUGAAUGAAACAGAAGUUGAUGGUCGAACUAUCUAUGUAGAAUUUGCCCAUGAACGAGGUAGUGGAGGAGGCGGUGGUGGAGGACGAUUUGGAGGCGGAGGAGGAAGAGGCGGUCGAGGUGGUGGAUUCCGUGGUGGUCGAGAUUUUGGUGGACGAGGAGGUCGUGGGGGUGGAUUCCGAGGUGGUAGAGGCGGCCGAGGUGGUGGCGGAGGAUAUGGAGGAGGCCGAGGUGGUGGCGGAUAUGGAGGAGGUGGUCGAAUGGGAGGAGGUGGAUAUGGCAAAAAGAAGACCUUUAAUGAUGACGAUUAAACUAUUGGCUAUCAACAAAACCAAAAACCCAACAUGAAUUCAUCCCUUGAUUGGAUAGAACCAGAUCUAUUGUACAUAAUUCAAUUCUAUUGGACAGAUAAAAUACUGAGACAAAUUGACAGUUUGUUAGAUGUUUUGAUCAUGAAAAUUUUACAGAACUGAGCGAAAAACUUUAUAGAUGUGUCGGUGUAUUUAAAAAAAAUUUCAUUCAAGGCUUGUAAAAAAUAAAAAAAACAUUACCCUGUGUUCAGAUGUAGUUUAAAGAAAUUUUAUUGUUGUAAAAUUUCACCUAGCUACAGAUUAUAAAAGUUUUAUUUCUAUCUUUUAACACGAAUCAGAUUUUUUUUUUUUUUAUAUUUGUUAUGUAAAUAUUUUUUGUUAUUUUUUAAAACUUUAAUUUCUUUAGGUUAUUAGAUAUUGUUGUAAAUUUAAAUUUGAGUUAACUGGAAAGUCCAUUCUGGCCAUAUAAAACCAGGGCACAAGUUCACAAAGAAUUUACUCAACUUUCAAUCACUUUUUAUAAGAAAUAUCUUUGAUCCAGAAACGCAAAACUUUUCAGUUUCUUAUUGAUGUAUUUGAUAAGUUUUAUAAAGGGAUAUAUUUUAGUUCAAAUAAGGCGAACAAUUUUGAGUAAAUUCUUAAUUCUGAGAAUGCUUUGUGAACUCCGUUGCCAGACCUUUUCAUUUAUCUUAAAUUUAAUUUUCUUUAAAUAAUGCCUAGUAAUUAAAUAUUGUUUCAUUUUAUAAAUUGACCUAAAAAUAUUUGGAUGUGCUCUAUAUUUAGAAAAUUAAUGUUUACUUCUUUAUCCGGACAAAAAUGUCAUGUGUAGCCGUAUUCUAUUCCAGACCUAUCGAAAAGGGUUGGAGUCAUGUCAUCACGAUCGUCAGUGCUUCAUUUAAAAUAUCGUUCUUCAUUUGUAAAUAUCCAUGCUAUACUACAUUAAAUUAAAUCUUGUUUCGGAGCCAUGAAUUUGCAUCUGGGUGUCGAGUCCUGAUUGCAAACACGGUUUUGCAGAACAAUGGAACCACAUUAUCCUCCUGUUCAAUUGAUCAUAGGAAGUUUCUAGUGUCAUUUAUACCAUCAAUGUACUGCUCUUUUUUAAAAGGAGAAGAAAAAAUAAAAUUCAAAUUCA